rnacentral:rRNA from 1 species
CCUACGGGGGGCUGCAGUGGGGAAUAUUGGACAAUGGGCGAAAGCCUGAUCCAGCCAUGCCGCGUGUGUGAAGAAGGCCUACGGGUUGUAAAGCACUUUCAGUGGGGAAGAAAGCCUUGGGGCUAAUACCCUCGAGGAAGGACAUCACCCACAGAAGAAGCACCGGCUAACUCCGUGCCAGCAGCCGCGGUAAUACGGAGGGUGCGAGCGUUAAUCGGAAUUACUGGGCGUAAAGCGCGCGUAGGCGGUCUGAUAAGCCGGUUGUGAAAGCCCCGGGCUCAACCUGGGAACGGCAUCCGGAACUGUCAGGCUAGAGUGCAGGAGAGGAAGGUAGAAUUCCCGGUGUAGCGGUGAAAUGCGUAGAGAUCGGGAGGAAUACCAGUGGCGAAGGCGGCCUUCUGGACUGACACUGACGCUGAGGUGCGAAAGCGUGGGUAGCAAACAGGAUUAGAUACCCCUGUAGUC